CCCAGAAAUCCUCCCAUAUAAUUCCAGAGAAGGGUUUAAUGCCGGCGACAAACACAAACCACGGCCGACGGUGGUCGACGGCGCGAUUUCGAAUGGUAUGAAUCAUACGGGUGAAUCAUGCCGUAGUAUCGCACGUUUACUGCGCCUAGAUGUGUAGUAAGUUCGAUGUUUAUCAAAUCGAAAGAUGCAUUCCUAUGAAAUGGAAAGAAACCAUCAAACAAAAACCAUUUGAUCUCCCGAAAAAAAUCAAGCACGAAACUAUUAUACGGCUCGACGAGAAAGCCGAUAGUUCUAUGGUGGAUUGCCUUGUCGCCGCCUUGAAAGAUUUUGCCCGCCAAGGUCAUUUAUUCAAAGCCUUUAGAAUAUUUUAUAUUAUUCGAGGUCAUGCCUUAGCAUCUGCAUCUCCCGUUUUUGUGGUAGACUCGUUUUCCUCUCUACUGUUGUCUUGUACGAAUCUGAAGUUGCUUCCACAAGGCAAACAGCUCCAUGCCCAAGUUGUUACGUGGGGUCUUUACAAAAGUCACGCGUUGGUCCGAAAACUAGUAUCUUAUUACACGAGUUUUGAUUUUGUCGACGAUGCUCGUUUCAUAGUUGCGGAUUCAAGCAUUCUGGACCCUUUGCCCUGGAAUGUCAUUAUUUCGUCUUAUGUGAGUAAAGGGCGGUACGAGGAAGCUAUCUUUACCUACAAGCAAAUGCGUUGUAAGGGAAUUAUACCCGAUUGUUUCAGUUACCCGUCUGUUCUCAAAGCUUGUGCCGAGCAAUCAAAUCUUGAUUUUGGGAGAGAGGUUCAUAAGUCUAUUAAUGGUAGUAGCUCUAUGAACUCGGACUUGUUUGUGCAGAAUGCGUUGGUCUCUAUGUACGGAAAGUGUGGUGAUUUGGAAACUGCUCGGAGUAUUUUUGACAAGAUAUUUGUUAAAGACGAAGUUUCGUGGAACUCGAUAAUCUCGGCAUAUUCCUCCAGGGGUAUGUGGGGUCAGGCUUUUGAACUUUUCGAAGGUAUGCAAGAAGCUGGUGUGAAAUUGAACAUUAUAAUUUGGAACACUGUUGCUGGAGGUUGUUUGAGGACAGGCAAUUUCGAACGUGCUCUUGAAUUGAUCUGUACGAUGAGAAUAAGUGGCAAUCAGUUAGAUCCCGUGGCAGUGAUUAUUGGCUUAGGUGCGUGCUCUCAUAUCUGCGCACUGAAACAGGGGAAAGAAAUUCACGGGUUAGCGAUUCGAAGCUCUUCAAUCGACUACGAUAAUGUGAAGAACGCGUUGAUUACGUUGUAUUCUCGGUGUGGAGACCUUAAGCACGCUUACAUCGUCUUCCGAUUGGUGGAGGGUAAAACCGUAAUUUCGUGGAAUUCGAUCAUAUCCGGUUUCGCACAGUGGGAUAGGUCCGAAGAAUCCUCGUUGCUCUUCCGAGAACUGUUUCUCACAGACAUCAAACCGAAUCACGUGACACUUGCAGGCAUUUUACCCCUCUGCGCGCGUGUGGCGAAUCUCCAACAUGGGAGGGAGUUUCAUGGAUAUAUUGUUAAGCACGAAGAAUUUCACGGGCAUCUCUUACUUUGGAACGCUCUUAUUGAUAUGUAUUCAAGAUCGGGCAGAGUGUUAAUCGCUAGACGAUUAUUCGAUUCACUGGAAAAAAGAGAUACAGUGACUUACACUUCGAUAAUAGGUGGAUACGGCAUACAAGGAGGCGGCAGAGUAGCCGUUGAACUAUUCGAAGAAAUGAUAAAAUCGAAAAUAGAACCCGACCACGUAGCAAUGGUCGCUAUUUUGUCUGCUUGUAGUCACUCGGGUCUUGUUCUUCAAGGCAAGUUAUUAUUCGAAAAGAUGAUGAGCGUUUACUGUGUGAAUCCAGCUUUGGAGCAUUUUGCAUGCAUGGUUGAUCUUUACGGGAGAGCUGGCUUGUUGAACAAGGCAAAAGAGAUUCUAUUAAAGAUGCCUUAUGAUCCGACGCCCGAAAUGUGGGCCACGCUUAUAGGAUCAUGUAGGGUCCACGGGAAUACGGAGAUUGGGGAAUGGGCGGCUGAGAAGCUUCUAGAAAUGAAGCCGAAGAAUUCGGGAUACUAUGUUUUGAUAGCGAAUAUGUAUGCUGCCGCUGGUUGCUGGACCAAACUGGCGAAAGUGAGGACUUUUAUGCGGGAUUUGGGCGUGAGGAAAGAACCUGGUUGUGCUUGGAUUGAUAUCGGUGCUGGAUUUUCUCCGUUCUUGGUUGAAGAUAGCUCGAACGAACAAGCGGAUGAAAUUUUCGUUCUGCUUGUGGGGUUGAGUAAACACAUGAAAGAUAUCGAUUGUGUAGCGUGUGAAAACCCUGAAGCUCUCUUUGCAUUACAAAAGAUAGGAAAGGAAUUUGAGUUGCAGUAAGUGAGACAUCCCCUCUUUGGAAUGGAGCUGCAUUAUUAAAAAGUCGUGAAGCUGAAUUCGGUCUUCGUUUUUUACAAGGAACUAAGCGAAAAACUACUAAUUGGAUCAGUCAAGAGACAAAACAGAAGCAACAGCUCUAUCGAUCGACCAGGCUUCAUCGGAAGACAAAAGCGCCAUGUCAGCGUUGGCUCCGUUACAGGUACUUGUUUAAGUUUUGCCACUUGAUCAUUUUUAUUGGUAUGUUUGGUUACACUUUGAGGAUAUAUUUCUGUUUUAAUUUUCGAGAUUUCCAGUGUUUUUGAGAGAGGAUUUUGAUAAUUAAAAUAAUGUUUGUUUAUGUUUACGAGAGAGGGAGAUAAUCGAGACAUAGUCAAAGAUGUAUUGAAAGAAACCGAAGUCAAAUGACUCGAGUUCGAAUCUGUUCAUGUAAUUUACAAGUUAUUGCACGUAAAAAAAAAUAUCAAUUUCAUCUA